UACGUAGGGCGCAAGCGUUGUCCGGAAUUAUUGGGCGUAAAGAGCUCGUAGGCGGCUUGUCACGUCGGGUGUGAAAUCCCGGAGCUCAACUCCGGGUCUGCAGUCGAUACGGGCGGACUUGAGUACUGCAGGGGAGACUGGAAUUCCUGGUGUAGCGGUGAAAUGCGCAGAUAUCAGGAGGAACACCGGUGGCGAAGGCGGGUCUCUGGGCAGUAACUGACGCUGAGGAGCGAAAGCGUGGGGAGCGAACAGG
rnacentral:rRNA from 1 species